UGUGUGUGUGUGUUUGAAGGAGGGAAGGAAGCUUCUUGUGGAAACUUGAGGACAUGCGGCGGCUCCUGCAAACUCUCCUCAGAGCGAAAAGUUUCUGCGGAGCUGAAGGAGAAAAAGAAGGAGGCGGAGAAAUGAACUGAAGACAGCCGAGCGGAGGAAGAGGAGAGGAGGGAGGAGAGGAGGAGAAGGAGCCGUUCACUCCCAUUGAUCCGGUAUCGAGUAAAGAUGCAGGCUGCUGCGGUGGUGGCUCUGACCGCGCUGAGUGUUUUCUUCGGCGUGGACUGCCUGACUCCUCAUCGGACCAAACCGAACCAGAUACAGCAGCAGGACAGAAACGCUCAGAGCAAUGAAGCCGGACGGAAGAAGAAGAACCAGCCGCACAUCUUGUUUAUCCUCACAGACGACCAGGGUUUCAAUGAUAUUGGCUACCAUAACCCGACCAUCAAGACUCCAACUUUAGACAAACUGGCGGCGGAGGGCGUGAAGCUGGAGAACUACUAUGUUCAACCCAUCUGCACACCGUCACGCAGCCAGCUCUUGACUGGCAGAUAUCAGAUCCACACGGGGCUACAACACUCCAUCAUCAGACCCAGCCAGCCGAGCUGUCUGCCUUCACACAUGGACACGCUUCCCGAGAGGCUCCGCGAGGCCGGGUACAGCACGCACAUGGUCGGCAAGUGGCACCUGGGCUUCUACAGGAAGGCAUGCCUGCCCACGAGAAAGGGCUUUGACAGUUUCUUUGGAUCUUUAACAGGAAGUGUGGAUUACUACAGUUACGGGUCCUGUGAUGGCCCAGGGUUAUGUGGGUAUGAUCUCCAUGACGACGAGGGUGUGGCGUGGGGCCAGGAAGGGAAAUACUCGACCACGCUCUUCACACAAAGAGCUCGCAAGAUCCUCGAGAGUCACAACCCGGCAGACAAGCCUCUGUUUCUGCUGCUCUCCCUCCAGGCAGUCCACACUCCUCUAAAGACUCCCAAGUCCUACAUCUACCCGUACCGUGACAUGGCUAACGUCGCCAGGAGGAAGUUUGCCGCCUUGGUGUCCACGGUGGACGAGGCGGUCCGAAACGUCACCUACGCUCUGAGAAAGUACGGAUACUACCGGAACAGCGUCAUAAUCUACUCCACCGACAACGGUGCCCAGCCGUUCACGGGAGGGAGCAACUGGCCGCUACGAGGCCGUAAGGGUACGUACUGGGAAGGUGGAGUCCGUGGAGUGGCGUUUGUUCACAGCCCGCUCUUGAAACGCAGGAAACGGGUCUCCAAAGCUCUACUGCACAUCACCGACUGGUUCCCCACACUGGUGGGCCUGGCAGGGGGAAACAUCAGCAAAAGUCGAGGCCUGGAUGGUUUUGAUGUCUGGCCCACCAUCAGUGAAGGGAAGGAGUCGCCCCGUCAGGAGAUCCUUCACAACAUUGACCCUCUGCACAAACCUGUUAAAGGCGCGACCUGGGCUGCCAGCACAGAGGGAGCCUCAGGAACAGCAGGCCGGGACAUUACGAAGCCAAAGAAGAAGGUCCUGAGGCACCAACCAAAGCAGAAGUCAGCGUUCAAGUUGAAGACGCCCAAGAAGUCUAAACCAAAACCUAAAUCCAAGCCUCUUCCCAAACUGAAGCUGAAGCCUCCUCGAAAAUCAAAACUAAAACCCAAACUCAAGACAAAAGUCUACCCUCAGAGCCAGAGACCAUCACAUUACAAACUACGCCUGAAGUCGCCCUCCAUUUCGGGAACAUCUCGCCCUAAAUCACAGCCUCAGGUCCAACCAAGUUUUAAAUCAAAAUCCAGACAAACCAUAUCCCAGAACCACAAUCUGUCACGGUCAAGACCACCUCAACCAAAAUCCAAGACGCAGCUCGAAUUACAUUUAAAGUCAAAGUCCAAGAGGACAGUGUCCCGAUACCAAAAUAUGUCCCAGCCAGAGAUGCUGCUGCCCACAUCCCAUCCAACGCCCCAUUUGUGGCUCCAGCCUUCCCAGCCAGUGUGGGACACAUCAAUCCAGGCUGCCAUCAGAGUUGGAGACUGGAAGCUGCUAACAGGAGACCCAGGCCAUGGAGACUGGGUCCCUCCACAGGUGCUUCCCACUUUUCCUGGUUCCUGGUGGAGCCUUGAACGUUCCAUCGCAUCCUUCCACAAACCCUCCACCCACAAAAACAUCUGGUUGUUCAACAUCACAGCUGACCCAUGCGAGCGACGGGACCUUUCAGACCAGAGACCAGACGUGGUUCAACAGCUGCUGGCCCGACUUGUCCACUAUAAUCAAACGGCCGUGCAGGUUUACUUCCCGCCCGACGACCCACGAGCCAAUCCCGACCAACACGGCGGAGCCUGGGUACCCUGGGUGGACGAAGAGGAGGAUGAGGAGGGAAAAUAUAACGGAGUGUACAAGAAAGGUCGGAACAAUAAGAAGAAAAAAAAGAAGAAGUGUCGGUUGUGCAAGCUGCAGACCUUCUUUCUGAAACUGAACACCGGGAUGAUGUCCAAUCGGAUCUGAGAUUAUUGUGUCAGAGACAUUUUGAAAUGUUCUUUUUAUAUUGCCAAUGAGACAAAGUGGGAGCCAGGGGGGUUAAUUCCACUACGUUCAGUCGAAGUGAAACACUUUCAUGUCUUUUCACUGGCUUCACUUUCCCCCGUGUUCCUCCAGAAUGAAAAAAAAAUUCACGUCGUCUUAUUACUGUCAAAUCUGAGAUUAGACAUCACUGACAGUCCAUCUGGAUUCAUGAGAAGACUCAAUUCAGGCUUUUCAUUGACUUUUAAAGGAUCAGUUCACUCCAAUCGCAAUCUUCUCGCAAUAUAGCAAGAUAGCGAUGUUGCCAAGAUUUUUGUUUGCAACAGUUGCUGGUUGCAAGUUGUUUCCAAUGAAAAUCUUCAAAAAGGUUAUGUCUGGACUUCACGGAUAUACAAACAGUCCAAUUGCCCCAGACUUAACCUUUUUGAAGAAAGAUGACCUGGAUGACUGAGAAACUUCACAGAAUUUCCAAUGAAAACUGUCGGCAGUGAGUAACUCCUGCACCUUGUACAUUGUUUUAGGAAAGGAGCAUUGUUGUUGAGAUAGGUGCAGGGAUAAUCGGUUGGUAGUGGUAGAAAAUCUCAUCGAAAGAAUGUGAAACUAUGUGCGUGUCCAGACACUACUGAAGUAGUAGCAUGAAAAUGAUUUUGUGAUUCUCAAUGAACUGACCCUUUAAAUUAAAUUUUGAUUUCUACCUACUUUGGUGGUAAGGUGGUUUUUCCCACCCCUGUUCUUCACUGUCGUGAUGGCUGUUACCAUCACCUGAUUUAAUAUGUGACUUUAGAAAUGAUGUGUCCAUGUUAUUGUUAUUCCUUUUUUUAAUUGUUGUGACAGAGUUCUCGAUUCAAGGACCGACACUGUGUAGCAGUUACAUGUUUUUUUGACACUGUAAAUGAUUUGAUUAUGUUAUCUGUCUUUAACUUUGAGCAGAAUGAUCCAGAAAGGAUCAGUGUGGAGUGAUACACACAGGUCUUUAUGUAUGUUUACACCAACAGUUCAUACUUAAACAUCCCAGGUUUUUGUUUUGAAGCAAAUGUUUUGCUUUUUACGGUGAAAGUGCAUGAUUAUGAUAAUUAUUUCUAUGAUUACUUAAAGAGGUUUUUAAUAAUUUGACAUUUUUAGUUACACAUCACAGUGAACGCAGAUGUCUAUAAUGUUUGUUAGAAAUACUUGUGAUAUGUUGGUUCUCUUUAGGUUUUACUGUGUCUGUUUGAAUGUAUUGCCAAUGUGACUAUGAAUUUCCAGUAUGUAGUUUUAAUUCUGUACAUGCUACUGUGAACAGCAGAAACUCUCAUGUUAUUUCACAACCGUCUCAGCCCUGUACAUGGUUAAAACAAUAGUAAUAUUGUUUUAGAAAACUCCUCUACAACACUUCUUCCAAAGUUUCUUCUGAUACCCGUGUGAUGAUCCCUCGAGUCCAAUGAAAACAAACCCAAAAUGAACCAGUUGGACAUAAAGUUAUUAUUAUUCAGAAAGGCGGAGGAAGUAAAACAUGUUACAGCUAAUAUUUUACCAGCAUUAGUAACCUCUUUGAAGUAAGAUGUUAGUUUUCUCCAUUUGAGCAAGACACCUAACCUCUAAAUAUUUCAGUGUAUUUGCUCAAUAUCUAACAAACCACGAACGACCGCGGCUGCUGUAGCCCAGUUCACUAAAGCACACGGCAGUCUACAGAGUGUGUCUGAGACAUGGUUCAAGAGGACGUUUGAUUUCUCCACCCUGAGUAAAUAAAGGUGAAAUAAAAUUAA